rnacentral:rRNA from 1 species
GGGGUGACUGCGUACCUUUUGUAUAAUGGGUCAGCGACUUAUAUUCUGUAGCAAGGUUAACCGCAUAGGGGAGCCGAAGGGAAACCGAGUCUUAAUUGGGCGUUAAGUUGCAGGGUAUAGACCCGAAACCCGGUGAUCUAGCCAUGGGCAGGUUGAAGGUUGGGUAACACUAACUGGAGGACCGAACCGACUAAUGUUGAAAAAUUAGCGGAUGACCUGUGGCUGGGGGUGAAAGGCCAAUCAAACCGGGAGAUAGCUGGUUCUCCCCGAAAGCUAUUUAGGUAGCGCCUCGUGAACUCAUCUCCGGGGGUAGAGCACUGUUUCGGCUAGGGGGCCAUCCCGGCUUACCAACCCGAUGCAAACUGCGAAUACCGGAGAAUGUUAUCACGGGAGACACACGGCGGGUGCUAACGUCCGUCGUGAAGAGGGAAACAACCCAGACCGCCAGCUAAGGUCCCAAAGUCAUGGUUAAGUGGGAAACGAUGUGGGAAGGCCCAGACAGCCAGGAUGUUGGCUUAGAAGCAGCCAUCAUUUAAAGAAAGCGUAAUAGCUCACUGGUCGAGUCGGCCUGCGCGGAAGAUGUAACGGGGCUAAACCAUGCACCGAAGCUGCGGCAGCGACACUUUAGUGUUGUUGGGUAGGGGAGCGUUCUGUAAGCCGUUGAAGGUGUCCUGUGAGGGGUGCUGGAGGUAUCAGAAGUGCGAAUGCUGACAUAAGUAACGAUAAAGCGGGUGAAAAGCCCGCUCGCCGGAAGACCAAGGGUUCCUGUCCAACGUUAAUCGGGGCAGGGUGAGUCGACCCCUAAGGCGAGGCCGAAAGGCGUAGUCGAUGGGAAACGGGUUAAUAUUCCCGUACUUGGUGUUACUGCGAAGGGGGGACGGAGAAGGCUAUGUUGGCCGGGCGACGGUUGUCCCGGUUUAAGCGUGUAGGCUGGUUUUCCAGGCAAAUCCGGAAAAUCAAGGCUGAGGCGUGAUGACGAGGCACCACGGUGCUGAAGCAACAAAUGCCCUGCUUCCAGGAAAAGCCUCUAAGCAUCAGGUAACAUCAAAUCGUACCCCAAACCGACACAGGUGGUCAGGUAGAGAAUACCAAGGCGCUUGAGAGAACUCGGGUGAAGGAACUAGGCAAAAUGGUGCCGUAACUUCGGGAGAAGGCACGCUGACACGUAGGUGAAGUGAUUUACUCAUGGAGCUGAAGUCAGUCGAAGAUACCAGCUGGCUGCAACUGUUUAUUAAAAACACAGCACUGUGCAAACACGAAAGUGGACGUAUACGGUGUGACGCCUGCCCGGUGCCGGAAGGUUAAUUGAUGGGGUCAGCGCAAGCGAAGCUCCUGAUCGAAGCCCCGGUAAACGGCGGCCGUAACUAUAACGGUCCUAAGGUAGCGAAAUUCCUUGUCGGGUAAGUUCCGACCUGCACGAAUGGCGUAAUGAUGGCCAGGCUGUCUCCACCCGAGACUCAGUGAAAUUGAACUCGCUGUGAAGAUGCAGUGUACCCGCGGCAAGACGGAAAGACCCCGUGAACCUUUACUAUAGCUUGACACUGAACAUUGAGCCUUGAUGUGUAGGAUAGGUGGGAGGCUUUGAAGCGUGGACGCCAGUCUGCGUGGAGCCGACCUUGAAAUACCACCCUUUAAUGUUUGAUGUUCUAACGUGGACCCGUAAUCCGGGUUGCGGACAGUGUCUGGUGGGUAGUUUGACUGGGGCGGUCUCCUCCUAAAGAGUAACGGAGGAGCACGAAGGUUGGCUAAUCCUGGUCGGACAUCAGGAGGUUAGUGCAAUGGCAUAAGCCAGCUUGACUGCGAGCGUGACGGCGCGAGCAGGUGCGAAAGCAGGUCAUAGUGAUCCGGUGGUUCUGAAUGGAAGGGCCAUCGCUCAACGGAUAAAAGGUACUCCGGGGAUAACAGGCUGAUACCGCCCAAGAGUUCAUAUCGACGGCGGUGUUUGGCACCUCGAUGUCGGCUCAUCACAUCCUGGGGCUGAAGUAGGUCCCAAGGGUAUGGCUGUUCGCCAUUUAAAGUGGUACGCGAGCUGGGUUUAGAACGUCGUGAGACAGUUCGGUCCCUAUCUGCCGUGGGCGCUGGAAGACUGAGGGGGGCUGCUCCUAGUACGAGAGGACCGGAGUGGACGCAUCACUGGUGUUCGGGUUGUCAUGCCAAUGGCACUGCCCGGUAGCUAAAUGCGGAAAAGAUAAGUGCUGAAAGCAUCUAAGCACGAAACUUGCCCCGAGAUGAGUCUUCCCUGAGACUUUGAGUCUCCUGAAGGAACGUUAAAGACGAUGACGUUGAUAGGCCGGGUGUGUAAGCGCAGCGAUGCGUUGAGCUAACCGGUACUAAUGAACCGUGAGGCUUAACCUUACAACGCCGAAGCUGUU